GGGUCAGUAGGUUGGUCGUGCCACCGGUACGUACUGGUCUCACUGAUUCCUCCUUCCUGAAGAACCGUAAUGCCAUUAAUUUGGUGUUGCGGGGAAACAGGACUGUUACUUUGAAAAAAUUAGAGUGAUUUAAGCAAGCUAACGCUUGAAUACAUUAGCAUGGAAUAAUGAAAUAGGACGAUCGAUCCUAUUUUGUUGGUUUCUAGGAUUGACGUA
rnacentral:rRNA from 1 species